CAGAUUGGCGAAAUGAGAAGCAUAAACCACCGGUUCAUUCGGUGAAUUCUUCCUGCAGCUCAUUCAGGAUAUACUCCCCAAACCCACCCUUCUCGUCCAUGGUGCAGCCCACUUGACGUGCACUGAUCCUCCAGCAGGAUGACUGACGAGAGAGGCUGGCUGCUCCCUGGGAGUCAACUCGUCCAGGAGGGAAGAAAGAGCAACUGUAACCCUUGACACAACCCUCACCUCUCCCUAUGACACCUCAGUAAUCACCUGGGCUGGACUUCACUGCAUUGUCUGAUUACAGACACGCUGCAGGAGGUCACUCACCUUCCACCAGGUGAUGCUGAGUCUCAGCAGAGGACUGGACACUCACUGCAACACAUCCAUCUGUGCCUCUUAUCUGCCGCUGUCACUCAUCCAUCAACCAAGAUAUGUUCCUGCAGCCCAUGAAGGAGGCCUGAGAUAUGAUCGCUGAGCAGAACAGAGCUGGCAGUAGCCUGGUCUGCAGCGGGUCACAGCUGUCAAACAGAUCAGCAGGACUUCUCUCUACGCCGAGCCAACAGCUGUCUAUUAAGAAUACUCUGGAUCGUCAUCAGCGGCAAACUCCUCAGCUCACAACUCGCCUCAUUACCGCCCCUUAAUGGAGGGAAGACAGAGACAAGAGGAACGUGCUUCGGUGUUUGGACGGAGGAAGUUUUGGAUCCUUCCUGACAUGUCUGGACUGACUGACUGAUUCCCCCGACAGACUCGGACACGCUGAAUCCCUCGUCAGCGUCCGUGACCUCAGUGAUUGGACGUGAACCCAAUGGCUGAAGAGAUUAAGUUCGUAUGCAGCUUCCUCUGGACAUCAUUUCAUUAAAGAUCGUCAGCUUCUUUAGUGUGAG